UUGCUGAAGUUGAAGUAUUCUCAUUGUGGAAUUCUGGGAAUUAAGUGUGGGCAGGAGGGUAGAUGUACAGGUAGCAGCAGACAUAACAGACUCAGGAAAGCUGGAUCAAAAUCCAGCAACAGGAAGAGCCAGGAAGAAACUGAUCUGCAGAACACAAGAGGGCUCAGGACUGCCACAGCCACACCUGGUACCAAGAAGUAAGAGCUACAAUCAAAAGGAUUAGACAAACGUCUGUUUCAGAGACAGACGCCAGCAUUCCUCUCCCUCACUGCGACCAGCUGGACCAGUUCGUUCCGAACCCAGCUGAUAUAGUUUGGGUAUUUGUCCAAAUCUUCUGUUGAAAUAUGAUUCCCAGUGUUGGAUGUGGGGCCUAGUGAGAGGUGUCUGGGUCAUGGGGAUGGAUCCCUCAUGAAUAGCUUGGUGCCCUCCCCACAGGAAUAAGUUCCCCAGAGAUCUGCUUGUUCAAGAGGUCGGGAGCUCCCUCCUCUCUCGUUCCCGCUCUAUGUGAUAAGCCUGCCCCCACUCUGCCUUCCGCCAUGACUGUAAGCUUCCUGAGCCGUCACCAGAAGCCGAUGACAGCACUUAUGCUUCCUGUAGUCUGCAGAACUGUGUCAAAGCCCACAGAAUGUAGAACACCCAGAGUGAACCCUAAUGUGAACAUGGACUUCGGAUGAUGAUGUCGGUUCAUCGAAACACCCAGAGUGAACCCUAAUGUGAACAUGGACUUCGGAUGAUGAUGUCGGUUCAUUGAAAACACCCAGAGUGAACCCUAAUGUGAACAUGGACUUUGGAUGAUGAUGUGGGUUCAUCGAUUGUACCAAAAAUGCCUCUGUGGUACAGGAUGCUGACGGUGCGGAAGGCCACGAGUGUGUGGAGCAGGGGUAUAUGGGAACUCUCUGUACCUUCCACUUAAAUUUGUUGUGAACCUAAAAUUGCUCUAAAAAAUAAAGUCUAUUAAUAAUAAUAAAAAAGAAACCUCAAAAUAACACCAAAAACCCCUCAACAACAACAACAAAAAACCUAGUUUGGUAGUUCCUAAAAAAGCUAAACAUAGAAUUGCCAUAUGAUACAGCAAUUCUACUGCUGAGUAGACUGAAAAUAGGGACUCAGACAGAUACGCGGAAGCCAGUGUUCGCUGCAGCAAGACUCCAAUAGCCAAGAGGUGGACACAAACGACCUAAGUGUCCAUCAACUGAUUCAAAACGUGACAGAUCCAUACAAUGGAGUGUUAUUGAGACAUAAAGGAACACCGUAAGGAAUACUGUUCUGAUACAUGGCACAAUGUGGAUGAACCCUGAGAAUGCCACGCUAAGUAAAAGGAGUCAGGUACAAAAGGACAAACAUGGUAUGAUUCUACUUAUAAGGACUAUCUAGAUUAGGCAAAUCCACAGAGAGAGGACGUAGAAUAGAGGCUGUCAGGGCUGGGGGAGGAGGAAGAGGGAGGGAUUGUUUAGUGAGUACAGAGUUUCUGAGACGCUCGGUGGCAAUGUGCAUGACAACGUGAAUGUAUUUAGUGCCACUUAACUAUACACGUAAAAACAGUUAAAAUGGAAAUGUUUAUGUUAUAUAUAUUUUGCCACAAUUUUAAGAAAAAAAAGCCCAGUGAUCCCUCCCUUUCUCCUUUCCCCUUCCUCAAAAGCAAUUACGUCUAAAGCCGUUAAGUGAGGCAAGGUAGGUGAUCUGUUUGGAGGGGUGGGGGAGGUGUGUGACCGGGAGGUCACGCAGAGUUGGCCGGGUGACGAGGGUAAUGGGAGUGGGAGAAAGUGGACGGGAUGUGGAUAGAUCAGAUGAGUAAACAUGCUGAGAUGACAGCAGCUGGACUUCUCACUGUUGGUGAAGGAAGUACAUAUGUGAAAAGGUGGAAAACUAAAAUAAAUGCUUUGGUAUCAGACAAGGUCUCCAACCGAUGGAAUCAAACCAACCUUACUGAUGCAAACUCAUGAUUACUUACACACACACACACGCACUCACAGGAGAGUGUACUGAUACAUAUACAUACAUUUCCUACCUUACUAAGAGGGCCUGAUGAGCUGGUAUUCCCAAUU
rnacentral:lncRNA from 1 species